rnacentral:tRNA from 1 species
CGGGACGUGGCGCAGCCUGGUAGCGCACUGGUCUGGGGGACCAGGGGUCGCGGGUUCAAAUCCCGCCGUCCCGA